AGGACGAACGCUGGCGGCGUGCUUCAUACAUGCAAGUCGAACGAGAAUCUCGACUUCGGUGAAGAGGAAAGUGGCGGACGGGUGAGUAAUGUGUAGAGAAUCUGCCCUAGAGUGAGGGACUAACAGAGGGAAACUUCUGCUAAUACCUCAUAUGCGCGUAGCUGAGAUGCUAUUCGUGAAAACUCCGGUGCUCUGGGAUGAGUCUGCAUCUGAUUAGCUAGUUGGGGGUGUAAUGGACCACCAAGGCGACGAUCAGUAGCUGGUUUGAGAGGAUGAUCAGCCACAAUGGGACUGAGACACGGCCCAUACUCCUACGGGAGGCAGCAGUAGGGAAUUUUGCGCAAUGGGGGGAAAAACCCCUGACGCAGCAACGCCGCGUGAACGAAAAAGCCCUUCGGGGUGUAAAGUUCUGUCAGUGGGGACGAAACUUGACGGUACCCACAGAGGAAGCAUCGGCUAACUCCGUGCCAGCCGCGGC
rnacentral:rRNA from 1 species